rnacentral:rRNA from 1 species
GUGGGGAAUAUUGGACAAUGGGGGGAACCCUGAUCCAGCCAUGCCGCGUGUGUGAAGAAGGCCUUUUGGUUGUAAAGCACUUUAAGCGAGGAGGAGGCUACUAGUAUUAAUACUACUGGAUAGUGGACGUUACUCGCAGAAUAAGCACCGGCUAACUCUGUGCCAGCAGCCGCGGUAAUACAGAGGGUGCGAGCGUUAAUCGGAUUUACUGGGCGUAAAGCGUGCGUAGGCGGCUGAUUAAGUCGGAUGUGAAAUCCCUGAGCUUAACUUAGGAAUUGCAUUCGAUAGUGGUCAGCUAGAGUAUGGGAGAGGAUGGUAGAAUUCCAGGUGUAGCGGUGAAAUGCGUAGAGAUCUGGAGGAAUACCGAUGGCGAAGGCAGCCAUCUGGCCUAAUACUGACGCUGAGGUACGAAAGCAUGGGGAGCAAACAGGAUUAGAAACCCCUGUAGUCC